AUUGAACGCUGGCGGCAUGCUUUACACAUGCAGGUCGAACGGUAACAGGCCGCAAGGUGCUGACGAGUGGCGAACGGGUGAGUAAUGCAUCGGAACGUGCCCAGUCGUGGGGGAUAACUACUCGAAAGAGUAGCUAAUACCGCAUACGAUCUAUGGAUGAAAGCGGGGGACCGUAAGGCCUCGCGCGAUUGGAGCGGCCGAUGUCAGAUUAGGUAGUUGGUGGGGUAAAGGCUCACCAAGCCAACGAUCUGUAGCUGGUCUGAGAGGACGACCAGCCACACUGGGACUGAGACACGGCCCAGACUCCUACGGGAGGCAGCAGUGGGGAAUUUUGGACAAUGGGCGCAAGCCUGAUCCGGCAAUGCCGCGUGCAGGAAGAAGGCCUUCGGGUUGUAAACUGCUUUUGUACGGAACGAAACGGCUCUGGUUAAUACCCGGGGCUAAUGACGGUACCGUAAGAAUAAGCACCGGCUAACUACGUG
rnacentral:rRNA from 1 species